GUAUCAGAUACUUCAAGUUAAUGGUUAAUUCUGGGGUUCUUGUGAACUCUGAGCUUUUCUGAGGUUCAGCAGAAAUAUGAACAGAAAGCAGCAGCACGUCUAGGUGGAGCUGAGGAAAUGGGAAGGAGGGAGUGAGAAAGCAAGCAAACACAUGGGCAGGUCAAGGAUGGAUGCCUAUUGUGAAGGAAAAAGAGUUGGGAGGGUCUGCUCACUCAUCCACUGAUGUCAACUGGAAGAGUCUCGGUGACUUCACUGCACAAUGGAUCAGGCCUCCAAUGCCAUCUGACCCCUUCAUCUGCAAAGGCUUCUCAUGUAGAUCCCACCAAUACUUCCUUCUCCCUGCAUCUGUCUGGCUGCUGCUCCCUAAUUGUAUUUCCAUCUCUGUCCCAUUCAGACUGAGCAGUUUGGAACAGUGUACCUUGUUUUUUUCUACAUUGUAAAUCACAGUGUAUUUUCACACGGACAUAUAAAACACCAUACCAUUACCAGCAAUGUAUAUUUGGCGACAGACCUCAAUCCAAUUCCAAAAACCUAAUACUUGUCUGUGUAGUGGGGAAAAAAUGGAUACAACAGUAACAUGCCUGCCUGCCUUUGAGUCUCUGUUCUCUUCAUAUUGUCUUCAGUAAGUUAACAUUACUUUGCAUGAGUGACACCACUACAUGUCUGUCCUUGUCACAUGAUAUUUAUCAGCUCCUCAGUCUAGCGAGUAUUUAUACUGUAUUGUCCUAGAAAAAGCUGGCAUAUGUUAGUCACAGUUUUGGUAGACUGCUUCUCUCUGAUUGCUAUCCCUUAGAAAGAAAGAAGAUAAUCAAUCUAGGACACAGCUCAUUAAAUUGUAUCACAUUGAUUCCAUUAAUAACCCUAUCAGAGCAUCACUCUGAAACCUUUUCGCAGGUAAAAGUCAAUUUGACUAGGAGAAGUGGCUUCUAGUCAUUACUUCAGAUUUUAAUAAGUAUUUAUUUGAUUUUAAUAAGCACUAAAUAUACAGCCUCCAAUUCAGUAGAGGUGCUUGCCUAAUUUUAAGCAUAUGAACAGUCCACUGACUACAUUCACUAGGGCUAAGCCUGUGCUUAAAGUCUGAUGCAUUCUUUACAGCUUUGCUUUAUCCAGCAACAUAUUUGCAAAUUGCAAGGUACUUAACAUAAUUUUUUUUCAUAUAGUUAGGUCUGACAGGAACUUUUCAGUCAGCUAUAAUUAGCAAAAAAAUGUUGUGGUUUAAUAUUCUAAGGUAACGGACUCAAUUUGAAAGAGUAAAAAUUAAAACAACAACAAAAAAACCCCACUAAGAUCAUGAACCAUGAAAUAUGAGACACUUUAUGAUCAGGGCCCAUGUGUAGAAAAUGAGCAAUUAAGAUACUUCAAACAUUGACAUAUUUCAUUCCUGAACACAUUUAAUUGUACUGCAUUAUUCAUAAAAACACAGUUGUCCUAAAAUGAGUCCAUGACCAGUGAUUCCAAUUUAUUGGAUAGCUUUCAUGGAAUAUUGAGAAGCCCUUUAAAUUCAGAUGCGGUCUAAUGUAGGCAUUCAAUGGCUGUGCAAAUACAAAUAAAUAAAGAAGCAGAGCAUGUUGGGAGUCACCAUGACUACAUUGCUCAGUUAUCACCUUGACUUUGUCUUAUUUCUCAGGCAUCAUCCAAAUGCCCAUGCAUCAGAAAUAUCCUGAAAUUCCUCCAGACCUUUUUCUGACUUUAUUCUGGACUAAUUUCAAUGGGAGUUUUUGUCUAACUAAGGACAGAGUAAAUGCUCAGAAAAUCUGA